GCGGGCUUCAUCUCGGGAAAGCCACACCUAGGGGCGGUAUUACCCCAGUGAGCCACGCUCAGGGGAGGGCCAGGUCCAGAACCCGGACCUGGAAGGAUGUUCACAGUUCGCCAGUUUUCAAACAAGCCAACAAGAGCUUCAACCGCUGGGACCUAGCGAGAUCACAAGCAGGCAGAGAGCAGGAAUGGAAGAGAGAGGA